rnacentral:rRNA from 1 species
AUUGAACGCUGGCGGCAUGCCUUACACAUGCAAGUCGAACGGCAGCACGGGAGCUUGCUCCUGGUGGCGAGUGGCGAACGGGUGAGUAAUACAUCGGAACGUACCCAGGAGUGGGGGAUAACGUAGCGAAAGUUACGCUAAUACCGCAUAUUCUGUGAGCAGGAAAGCGGGGGAUCGCAAGACCUCGCACUCUUGGAGCGGCCGAUGUCGGACUAGCUAGUUGGUGAGGUAAAAGCUCACCAAGGCGACGAUCCGUAGCAGGUCUGAGAGGAUGAUCUGCCACACUGGGACUGAGACACGGCCCAGACUCCUACGGGAGGCAGCAGUGGGGAAUUUUGGACAAUGGGGGCAACCCUGAUCCAGCCAUGCCGCGUGAGUGAAGAAGGCCUUCGGGUUGUAAAGCUCUUUCGGCGGGGAAGAAAUGGCAACGGCUAAUAACCGUUGUUGAUGACGGUACCCGCAUAAGAAGCACCGGCUAACUACGUGCCAGCAGCCGCCGUAA